rnacentral:rRNA from 1 species
CAGCAGCCGCGGUAAUACGAAGGGGGCUAGCGUUGCUCGGAAUUACUGGGCGUAAAGGGAGCGUAGGCGGACAGUUAAGUCAGAGGUGAAAGCCCAGGGCUCAACCCUGGAAUUGCCUUUGAUACUGGCUGUCUUGAGUAUGGGAGAGGCGUGCGGAACUCCGAGUGUAGAGGUGAAAUUCGUAGAUAUUCGGAAGAACACCAGUGGCGAAGGCGGCACACUGGCCCAUUACUGACGCUGAGGCUCGAAAGCGUGGGGAGCAAACAGGAUUAGAUACCCUGGUAGUCCACGCCGUAAACGAUGAGUGCUAGUUGUCGGCAUGCAUGCAUGUCGGUGACGCAGCUAACGCAUUAAGCACUCCGCCUGGGGAGUACGGUCGCAAGACUAAAACUCAAAGGA